rnacentral:rRNA from 1 species
GGCGAACGCUGGCGGCGUGCUUAACACAUGCAAGUCGAACGGUGAAGCGCCUUCCUUUUUGGUGGGUGUGGAUGAGUGGCGAACGGGUGAGUAACACGUGAGUAACCUGCCUCCUUCUUCUGGAUAACCGCAUGAAAGUGUGGCUAAUACGUGAUAGUCUGGGUCUGUCGCAUGAUGGGUCUGUGAAAGAUAUUGUUUCGGUGGGGGAUGGGCUCGCGGCCGAUCAGCUUGUUGGUGGGGUGAUGGCCUACCAAGGCGGUGACGGGUAGCCGGCCUGAGAGGGUGGACGGUCACACUGGGACUGAGACGCGGCCCAGACUCCUACGGGAGGCAGCAGUGGGGAAUAUUGCACAAUGGGCGCAAGCAUGAUGCAGCGACGCCGCGUGAGGGAUGGAGGCCGUCGGGUUGUGAACAUCUUUCGCCAGUGAAGCAGGCCUGCCUCGUUUGUGGGUGGGUUGACGGUAGCUGGAUAAGAAGCGCCGGCUAACUACGUG